UAGUGGCAGACGGGUGAGUAAUGUAUAGGAAUCUACCUAGUAGUACGGAAUAAUUGUUGGAAACGGCAACUAAUACCGUAUACGCCCUAAGGGGGAAAGAUUUAUUGCUAUUAGAUGAGCCUAUAUUAGAUUAGUUAGUUGGUAAGGUAAUGGCUUACCAAGGCAAUGAUCUAUAGCUGAUCUGAGAGGAUGAUCAGCCACACUGGAACUGAGAUACGGUCCAGACUCCUACGGGAGGCAGCAGUGGGGAAUAUUGGACAAUGGGCGAAAGCCUGAUCCAGCCAUACCGCAUGAGUGAAGAAGGCCUUUGGGUUGUAAAGCUCUUUCGGUGAGGAAGAUAGUGACGGUACUCACAGAAGAAGUCCUGGCUAACUCCGUGCCAGCAGCCGCGGUAAUACGGAGAGGGCUAGCGUUAUUCGGAAUUAUUGGGCGUAAAGAGCGCGUAGGCUGGUUAGUAAGUUAAAAGUGAAAUCCCAAAGCUCAACUUUGGAAUUGCUUUUAAAACUGCUAACCUAGAGAUUGAAAGAGGAUAGAGGAAUUCCUAGUGUAGAGGUGAAAUUCGUAAAUAUUAGGAGGAACACCAGUGGCGAAGGCGUCUAUCUGGUUCAAAUCUGACGCUGAGGCGCGAAGGCGUGGGGAGCAAACAGGAUUAGAUACCCUGGUAGUCCACGCUGUAAACGAUGAAUGUUAAAUAUGGGAAGUUUACUUUCUGUAUUACAGCUAACGCGUUAAACAUUCCGCCUGGGGACUACGGUCGCAAGAUUAAAACUCAAAGGAAUUGACGGGGACCCGCACAAGCGGUGGAGCAUGUGGUUUAAUUCGAUGCAACGCGAAAAACCUUACCACUUCUUG
rnacentral:rRNA from 1 species